GCGGAACUAAAAUCUGAAAAUGAUCAAUUAAGGACUGAAAAUGCGGAACUAAAAUCUGAAAAUGAUCAAUUAAGGACUGAAAAUGAGCAACUAACAUUUGAAAAGGAUCAAUCAAGGACUGAAAAUGAGCAACUAACAUUUGAAAAGG